CCUACGGGUGGCAGCAGUGGGGAAUAUUGCACAAUGGGGGAAACCCUGAUGCAGCGACGCCGCGUGAGUGAAGAAGUAUUUCGGUACGUAAAGCUCUAUCAGCAGGGAAGAAAAAAAGUCCUUUGGACUUUGGACGGUACCUGACCAAGAAGCCCCGGCUAACUACGUGCCAUCAGCCGCGGCAAUACGUAGGGGGCAAGCGUAAUCCGGAUUUACUGGGUGGAAAGGGAGCGUAGACGGCAGCGCAAGUCUGGAGUGAAAUGCCGGGGCCCAACCCCGGAACUGCUUUGGAAACUGGGCAGCUGGAGUGCAGGAGAGGUAGGCGGAAUUCCUGGUGUAGCGGUGAAAUGCGUAGAUAUUAGGAGGAACACCAGUGGCGAAGGCGGCUUACUGGACUGUAACUGACGUUGAGGCUCGAAAGCGUGGGGAGCAAACAGGAUUAGAUACCCCUGUAGUC
rnacentral:rRNA from 1 species